GACGAGAUGGCUGAGUGGUUUAAAGCACCUGUCUACUAAACAGGCAGUCAGAGAUGACUCGUAGGUUCAAAUCCUACUCUCGUCGCCA
rnacentral:tRNA from 1 species